AAGCAAGACCGCGAGGUGGAGCAAAUCCCUAAAAGCCAUCCCAGUUCGGAUUGCAGGCUGCAACCCGCCUGUAUGAAGUUGGAAUCGCUAGUAAUCGCGGAUCAGCAUGCCGCGGUGAAUACGUUCCCGGGCCUUGUACACACCGCCCGUCACACCAUGAGAGUCGGGAACACCCGAAGUCCGUAGCCUAACCGCAAGGGGGGCGCGGCCGAAGGUGGGUUCGAUAAUUGGGGUGAAGUCGUAACAAGGUACC
rnacentral:rRNA from 1 species